GUAGGUGAACCUGCGGAAGGAUCAUUAUCAAAAUAUUUUAUUUUAAAAUAUUUUACACAUUAAAAUUCUUUUUGAUCAUGUUGUGUUAUUCAUAUUUUUGACAAACCGUGUCUAGAAUGCCAUCCGAUGGGUCUCUACCACGUGAUUAAAAAUUUAUAUAAUACAUGGAUCAAAAAAAUUUUAAUUUUAACGCUACCCAUUCUUGCGUUAUAAAUUAAAAUUAAACUUUCGAUGUACGAAUGUUAUUAUU
rnacentral:misc_RNA from 1 species